ACGAUCAUGGAUGAAGCAGUACUUGAUCAGCAGGGGCGGGCUAUAAAUAGGCAAAUAAUGCCCAAAAGAGAGGUCUUUUUUUCGAGAAUAGAAAACCACCUUUAUUUCCUCUGCAUUUUCCUCACAUUUUCUCGGAGUAAUCUACUUGUAAUCUUUUACUUUGCCGCACUUACUAUUUUUUCCUAGAAGUAAGUUCAAGUUAGAUCAACCGAGUUUGUAUGCCCUCAGGCACACUCGUCCUUUGUACUAGUUUCAUAUAUUAAUUCCAAUAUAUAAAGGCAUUCGGCUCUUCAACCGACCCAAAACACUGUGCUUUCCGUACACUCGGCUCAUUCAGCCGAUCUGAUUCUGUAGUAAAAGGUUUCUAACUCGGCUGAUCCGAUCCCUCAUCAGCCGAAUCGCUUAAUCCAGUUGAAAGACGCAAACUUCA
rnacentral:lncRNA from 1 species